UACGAAGGGGACUAGCGUUGUUCGGAAUCACUGGGCGUAAAGCGCACGUAGGCGGAUUCGUAAGUCAGGGGUGAAAUCCCGGGGGCUCAACCUCGGAACUGCCUUUGAUACUGCGGGUCUUGAGUCCGAUAGAGGUGGGUGGAAUUCCUAGUGUAGAGGUGAAAUUCGUAGAUAUUAGGAAGAACACCGGUGGCGAAGGUGGCCCACUGGAUCGGUACUGACGCUGAGGUGCGAAAGCGUGGGGAGCAAACAGG
rnacentral:rRNA from 1 species